rnacentral:lncRNA from 10 species
CGGGCAUGGAAUUUCCCCUCUUAGGAAGAGAUGAACUUUCUGGAAGCAGACCCAUCUAUGCUUUGACCUGAUCAUGGAAGACCCUGAGCCCUAUAAACUCCUUUGAAUCCCUGUCCCGGGAACAGGGACACCCAAUCAAUGCCUCACACACAGCCUGGGGAAUCCACAGCUGAGCCAGCCCUCCUACAACAUUUCUUGGACAAAGAGUACUGAAAAAUACCCCACAGCUCUUUCCCAGGCCCAUUGGAGUACCUCGAUACAUUCUUCGCUUCGGUUACAGACAGGUUCACAAGGAACCCAGGAUACGUUACUCUGGGUUGAAUGCUGCCAAAAAGAAAAACUGAAAAUGCAAACAUGUAAAGCAACUUGGGAGAACGUAAUCACGUCAUCUUAGGGUUGGCGAAAACGAAAGAAUAAACACCUGACCUACAUCAAAUAAAACAUUUAAACAUGUUUCAAGCCCUUAUUGGGAUUUCCGCCUAUGCACACCCACCUGGCAUGGGCCAAAUAGACAAAACUGAUCAGGAGACUUCAGACAUCAGCUCGAAGAGACAGGCAGCAAGUUGAAGAGAAGCUCAAUUCCGAGAGUUCAGUUCUGGUUACACUGCACCCUCCCUCUCAAGGGCCAGCCCUUCCACUGCAAUCCUCAUGUCCUGGCUGCACAGCCCACCUUGAUUUUCACUUGAUUUUCAAUCCUGCUCUUAGAUAACCAGGCCCCUGCUCUUAAACACGCUCAUUUGCUCCUCAACCCCUAGUUUAAGACCUUCCUGAGUCCAGCGGUUCUUAAACUUUCAAGUGCAACAGAAUCUAAAGAGCUUGUUAAAAUAAAGGUUCCUGGGCUCCAUCCCCAGAGUUUC